AUCUUACACAUCCAACCAUCAGAUAUAGAAAACUCAUUCUCUCUGAGCAGUUAAGAUGGUGGAAUGUUGACAACAUUUAAAUACGAUCAUCAAAAAGUUAGGGAGAUGAUAGCACAUUACAUUCUAAUUAAUGAGAAGCCAUUUUCUAUUAUUGAAGAAUUUGGAUUCAACUUAAUUUUAAAGUCUAUGUCACCCUUUUUUGUGAAAUACUCACGGGUAACAGCACACAAUGAUGUCAUACAAGUGUAUGAAAGAGAGAAAAAAAAUUGAAGAAUGCUUUAAAGGGCAUUAACAAAAUAAGUUUUACCACGGAUUUAUGGAAGUAAAAAAAUAAGAGAAUUUCAUAUAUGACAGUCACAGCUCAUUAUAUUGAUUCGCAGUGAAAGUUACAGAAAUGAGUAUUGAGUUUUUUGCAUUUGCCACCACCACAUAUAGCUACCGAAAUUGUUGAUACAUUCUACAAGGAACUUUGUGAAUGGGGUGUUGAGGAUAAAGUUUUUACUAUCUCAGUUGAUAAUGCAUCAAAUAAUGAUAGGGAAAUGAAACUUUUAAAAGAUAGUUUUAGAGUUAAGAAAAAACUAUUCUUUGGAGGAAGGUUGUUUUAUGUCCGUUGUUGUGCUCACAUACUAAACCUUAUGGUUAAGGAUGGCAUAAAAAGUGUGGAGUAUAUUAUUGAUAAAAUUAGAGACACUGUGAAUUUUGUUAAUGCAUCUGAAGCAAGGUUAGUCAGAUUUUCUGAAGUUGUCCAACAAUUACAGUUACAUACUAGAAAGCUAGUAAUGGAUUGCCCAACUCGUUGGAACUCAACUUAUUCAAUGUUGACAGUGGCAUUAAGGUUAAGGGAAGCAUUUUUUUCAUAUAACGAAAGAGAAGUGGCAUAUGUAGCAUGUCCAACAGAGGAGGAGUGGGAUAAAAUUGAAAAGGUAUGUGAUAUUUUGGGAUUCUUCAACGAAGCAACUGAUAUUAUUUCAGGAACGGACUAUCCUACAGCAAAUUUAUUUCUUUCACAAAUCUGUACUAUUAAGAAAGUGUUGGAUGAUGGGGCAAUUUCUACUGAUAAUUUUAUAGUGGAGAUGACUAAGAAGAUGAAAGCUAAAUUUGAUAAAUAUUGGGGCGAAUGUAAUCUCCUCAUGGCUUUUGGCGCAGUGAUGGAUCCAAGAAUGAAGUUUGUUGUAAUUGAGUUUGCCUACCCUAAGAUAUAUCAUGGAGAUGAAAGCAUGAGAAAUGUGCAGCAUGUUAGAUGUCUUCUCUAUGAAAUGUAUGAGGAAUAUGUUAGAAGUUCUGAAGCCGAAUUGGAUGGUGAUGGUGGUAUUGCAGGAGGGAGUUCAAGGAGCACAACCAAUUCAUUGCAAAGUGUAGACCAUCAAUCUAAUUCUAAAUAAUAUAGUGGUUGGCAUGAUUUCACCUCAUUUGUCUCAUCCAAAACAAGCACCAGGCCUAUAAAAUCAGAUUUAGACAACUACUUGGAAGAUGGCUUAGAACUUUGUAGUGAAGAACAGAAGUUUGAUGUGAUAGCAUGGUGGAAAAACAAUCAAGCCAAAUACUGCAUACUUUCGAGAAUGGCAGUGGAUAUUUUAUCCAUCCCUGUUAGUACAUUUGCUUCAGAAUCCACUUUCAGUGCUGGAGAAAGAGUAGUUGAUACAUACCGAUCAAAAUUAGGGGUUGACAUUGUGCAAGCUCUCCUUUAUGGUUCCAACUGGGUUCGCUGCCACUAUGGCUUAAAGGGAAGGGUUAAGGAGGAGGAAGAGGAUGAAGAGGUGGAGAUUGUCCUACCAAUUACAUGAGAAAAACUGAGAGAACCGUGCUGAGUUGGUGCAUCUUCGUUCUUCCAAAGAUGGUUCAAGUUGUUCUGGAACGGUUUGCUGCAUACUAAUUUGUACUAGAGAGUAGAGAUGGAAGAGUUUGAAGCAUUUGGAUUAUCAGAUAGAAAAAGGAAAAAUAGUUCUACCUUUUGUUGAGUUUUAAUUUUUAUUAUAUCUUGAAACUUCUUUUGGACCUGAAAAAUAGUUCUACCGUUUUUUAGUUUAUCAUUUUAUUUGUAAUGAUGUGAUGAUAUGCAGUUUGGUGUAACUUUGAUAUUAAUGCUUUUUUCCAUA